UACAGAGGGGGCGAGCGUUGUUCGUGAAAACUCACAGCUCAACUGUGGGCGUGCGGGCGAUACGGGCAGACUAGAGUUCGGUAGGGGAGACUGGAAUUCCUGGUGUAGCGGUGAAAUGCGCAGAUAUCAGGAGGAACACCGGUGGCGAAGGCGGGUCUCUGGGCCGAUACUGACGCUGAGGAGCGAAAGCGUGGGGAGCGAACAGG
rnacentral:rRNA from 1 species